GAACGCUGGCGGCGUGCUAAUACAUGCAAGUAGAACGCUGAAGGAGGAGCUUGCUCUUCUGGAAGAGUUGCGAACGGGUGAGUAACGCGUAGGUAACCUGCCUGGUAGCGGGGGAUAACUAUUGGAAACGAUAGCUAAUACCGCAUAAGAUUGAAUAUCGCAUGACAAUUGAUUAAAAGAUGCAAAUGCAUCACUACCAGAUGGACCUGCGUUGUAUUAGCUAGUAGGUGAGGUAACGGCUCACCUAGGCGACGAUACAUAGCUGACCUGAGAGGGUGAUCGGCCACACUGGGACCGAGACACGGCCCAGACUCCUACGGGAGGCAGCAGUAGGGAAUCUUCGGCAAUGGGGGCAACCCUGACCGAGCAACGCCGCGUGAGUGAAGAAGGUUUUCGGAUCGUAAAGCUCUGUUGUAAGAGAAGAACGAGUGUGAGAGUGGAAAGUUCACACUGUGACGGUAUCUUACCAGAAAGGGACGGCUAACUACGUGCCAGCAGCCGCGGUAAUACGUAGGUCCCGAGCGUUGUCCGGAUUUAUUGGGCGUAAAGCGAGCGCAGGCGGUUAGAUAAGUCUGAAGUUAAAGGCUGUGGCUUAACCAUAGUACGCUUUGGAAACUGUUUAACUUGAGUGCAGAAGGGGAGAGUGGAAUUCCAUGUGUAGCGGUGAAAUGCGUAGAUAUAUGGAGGAACACCGGUGGCGAAAGCGGCUCUCUGGUCUGUAACUGACGCUGAGGCUCGAAAGCGUGGGGAGCGAACAGGAUUAGAUACCCUGGUAGUCCACGCCGUAAACGAUGAGUGCUAGGUGUUAGGCCCUUUCCGGGGCUUAGUGCCGUAGCUAACGCAUUAAGCACUCCGCCUGGGAGUACGACCGCAAGGUU
rnacentral:rRNA from 1 species